rnacentral:rRNA from 1 species
UACAGAGGGUGCGAGCGUUGUUCGGAAUUACUGGGCGUAAAGCGCGCGCAGGCGGCCUUUUAGGUCCGUUGUGAAAGCCCUGGGCUCAACCUGGGAAUGGCAGUGGAUACUGGAAGGCUGGAGUACGGUAGAGGAGGGUGGAAUUCCCGGUGUAGCGGUGAAAUGCGUAGAGAUCGGGAGGAACAUCAGUGGCGAAGGCGGCCCUCUGGACCAGUACUGACGCUGAGGCACGAAAGCGUGGGGAGCAAACAGG